ACAUUAAUAUCAAUCUAAUGACAUUCCAUAGGAAUAAAAAUCCAAUGGGAUCCAGUUCUUAGCAGUCCCAGCCUAGUCAGAAGUACAAAGUCAAAUACCAUUUGCACAUCACCAAGAGGUACAAUCUGAUGAGUAACAGGAUAUCUAAAAGCUUGCCAGGUUUCACAGGCAGUUUGAGUAUCACCAGGGCACAUCAAGAAGAAAUAUGAAGGCCAGGUUCAUAACAAGCAGUUACUUCAUUGCAAUUACAGAUUUUAAAAAAAUGAAUGAAUUUAAAUAAAUGUGUCAAUACGUAUUGUAUGUUGCUUAAACUACACAUCUGUUGAAAAAAAGGAUUAGAUGGAGUAUAGAUAUUUAGGUCCAUAGGUUUCACACAAGAUUAAAAUAUUUUUCCAAAGGGCACACUUAUCCCCCCCCCCUUUAUUAAUGUUCUAAUCAUCUACAUGUAGUACUUAUAGUAGUGAAAGCACUUUGAAUAAUAUUAGUAGUUUGAAAGGGAUAGGUUGUAUUCUUGUAAUCUAAACAAUGCAGUAUGGGCCUUUACUGAGGUCUGGGCUAUGUAACAUACAUGCCUACAGACAUAUAAAAGGUGAUAAAAAAUAAUGGAUUUUCAUUGAAAAAAAUGUGCGUAAUAAAAACAAUGUGACAGAACAAAGGGCGAAGAAAUCACUCUCAGUCCUGGACCCCAAUUCAUUAAGACUAACCACUAUUCUAACUUUGAAAUUCUGGUAAUUACUAUGGAAACAUUAAAGCAACAGAUAAAAAUUGGGGUUCCCAUGCUAGUUACAUUUGGGGCCAAUUUACCAUAAUUGAAGUCCUUUUGAAACAAGAAACUGUAUGUAUUGCUGGACAUUAAGCUGUUGAAUUCAUUUUCUGGGGGAAGUGAAAAGUUGCACUUUUU
rnacentral:lncRNA from 1 species